rnacentral:rRNA from 1 species
AUUGAACGCUGGCGGCAUGCCUAACACAUGCAAGUCGAACGAGUGGCGGACGGGUGAGUAAUGUCUGGGAAACUGCCUGAUGGAGGGGGAUAACCACUGGAAACGGUAGCUAAAAACGCAUACCAUCAGAUGUGCCCAGAUGGGAUUAGCUAGGUGUUGGGGUAACGGAUCACCAAGGCGACGAUCCCUAUCUGGUCUGAGAGGAUGCCCAGCCACACUGGAACUGAGACACGGUCCAGACUCGUACGGGAGGCAGCAGUGGGGAAUAUUGGACAAUGGGGGCAAGCCUGAUGCAGCCAUGCCGCGUGUGUGAGGAAGGCCUUCGGGUUGUAAAGUACUUUCAGCGGGGAGGCGUUACCCGCAGAAGAAGCACCGGCUAACUCCGUGCCAGCAGCCGCGGUAAUAC